CCUACGGGGGGCAGCAGUGAGGAAUAUUGGUCAAUGGUCGGAAGACUGAACCAGCCAAGCCGCGUGAGGGAUGAAGGUACAGAGUAUCGUAAACCUCUUUUGUCAGGGAACAAAGUCGGGGACGUGUCCCCGGAUGAGUGUACCUGAAGAAAAAGCAUCGGCUAACUCCGUGCCAGCAGCCGCGGUAAUAGGGAGGAUGCGAGCGUUAUCCGGAUUUAUUGGGUUUAAAGGGUGCGCAGGCGGCCUGUUCAGUCAGCGGUAAAAGCCCGGGGCUCAACCCGGGCCAGCCGUUGAAACUGGCAGUCUCGAGUUGGAGAGAAGUAUGCGGAAUGCGCGGUGUAGCGGUGAAAUGCAUAGAUAUCGCGCAGAACUCCGAUUGCGAAGGCAGCAUGCCGGCUCCACACUGACGCUGAGGCACGAAAGCGUGGGUAUCGAACAGGAUUAGAUAUCCGUGUAGUC
rnacentral:rRNA from 1 species